CUCGCCCUCCCGUUUGCAAUUAGAACGAAAUUCCCAAAAAUUCUAAGGCGAAACCCUAGUAAAUCUGGUGAUCUUUGUCAAACAAGGAGUUCGACCUGCCUACAAUUGCUAGAACCGAAGGAAUUCUUCGAUCAAAAUCCUUGUUCUGAGCACGACAAGCCCUGUGUAUUGUUGUCUGGCAUAUCCAUACGUCAAAUUUUAGCCUAUGUACUUUAUCUAAUUUUAUUAAUGAAGUUCCUCGGUGCAAAGCUAUCUCCAGAAUUUGGAUUUUUUUCUUAUCUUUAACAAUUACCAUCUAUGGCAAGACUGCUUAAAGAAUUUUGGAAAAUUGGAAUUAUCUAUUUGAUAACAGGACAUUAAUUUCAGUUUUCAGAUAAACCAAUGGAGUAUGUUGUGUUUACAGAAUUAUGUGGACUCUGAAACCUUUUAGAAUGAUAGGAAAGAAAAAGGGCAUUUGUCACAGUUGUAUGAAGCCUGGAAACCACUUGUCAGAUUGCCCAUCAAAGCAACGAUGCCCAAAUUGUGGGUUAGGGUUCGUGAAAUGUAUGGAGGUGGAGAAAAAACUAAAAACAUAGGGCGCUUUUUUCUUGUGUUGUACUAGAGAUUGUGGGUAUGUUGAUUGAAUUGAUGAUUCAUCGUUGAGGACAAAACCUUUUCACUUCGAAGGAGAGUCUAGUGGAGAAUCGAGAUCCCUUUUUUUAGGUAUGCCAAUGCCUGAUCCAAAUGAAGAGCUGCCAUGCAUGUUGAAGAUAAUGGCUCAAAUAACUGGAAAGAAGAACGUGGAGGUCUCCUUGAACAUAACAAUGUGAAAGGGAAAAGAGUCAUUUGUAGUUUUUAUAUUUGUGUAACAUGCACUAACUUCCGUUUACACUACGUUUGGUGUAUGUUUCUUAUGUCGUAACAGAGGUUGUUGAUUAUUGUUGCUGUUUUGAUGUACAAUUUACAAUUCCAAAAGUGAAACUGGU
rnacentral:lncRNA from 1 species